CCUACGGGGGGCAGCAGUGGGGAAUUGUUCGCAAUGGGCGCAAGCCUGACGACGCAACGCCGCGUGGAGGAUGAAGAUCUUCGGGUCGUAAACUCCUGUCGAGCGGGACGAAUGCCUUGCGGGUGAAUAAUCCGCGAGGGUGACGGUACCGCUAAAGGAAGCCCCGGCUAACUCCGUGCCAGCAGCCGCGGUAAUACGGGGGGGGCAAGCGUUGUUCGGAAUUACUGGGCGUAAAGGGCUCGUAGGUGGCCAACUAAGUCAGACGUGAAAUCCCCAGGCUCAACUUGGGAACUGCGUCUGAUACUGGAUGGCUUGAAUCCGGGAGAGGGAUGCAGAAUUCCAGGUGUAGCGGUGAAAUGCGUAGAUAUCUGGAGGAAUACCGGUGGCGAAGGCGGCAUCCUGGACCGGCAUUGACACUGAGGAGCGAAAGCCAGGGGAGC
rnacentral:rRNA from 1 species